UUCUAGAUGAGAGAUAUAUAUA
rnacentral:miRNA from 1 species